rnacentral:rRNA from 1 species
CCUACGGGAGGCAGCAGUGAGGAAUAUUGGUCAAUGGGCGGAAGCCUGAACCAGCCAAGUAGCGUGCGGGAUGAAGGCCCUACGGGUCGUAAACCGCUUUUGCACGGGGAUAACACCCUCCACUUGUGGAGGUCUGCAGGUACCGUGCGAAUAAGGGCCGGCUAAUUCCGUGCCAGCAGCCGCGGUAAUACGGAAGGCCCGAGCGUUAUCCGGAUUCAUUGGGCUUAAAGGGAGCGUAGGCGGGCGUUCCAGUCAGCUGUAAAAGCGCGCGGCUCAACCGCGCCCCGCAGUUGAAACUGGACGCCUUGAGUUCACAACAGGCAGGCGGAAUUCGUGGUGUAGCGGUGAAAUGCAUAGAUAUCACGAGGAACCCCGAUUGCGAAGGCAGCCUGCCGGGGUGCGACUGACGCUGAGGCUCGAAGGUGCGGGUAUCAAACAGGAUUAGAUACCCCAGUAGUC